UAUCCCUUUUAUUUCCUUUUAG
rnacentral:miRNA from 1 species